rnacentral:rRNA from 1 species
UACGAAGGGGGCUAGCGUUGUUCGGAAUUACUGGGCGUAAAGGGCGCGUAGGCGGUACUUCAAGUCAGGCGUGAAAGCCCCGGGCUCAACCUGGGAACCGCGCUUGAGACUGGAGAACUAGAGUUCGGGAGAGGAUGGUGGAAUUCCCAGUGUAGAGGUGAAAUUCGUAGAUAUUGGGAAGAGCACCGAUGGCGAAGGCAGCCAUCUGGACCGACACUGACGCUGAGGCGCGAAAGCGUGGGGAGCAAACAGG